rnacentral:tRNA from 2 species
GCCCCGGUGGCUCAGUGGUAGAGCGCGCCCUUGGUAAGGGCGAGGUCGCGGGUUCGGCUCCCGCCCGGGGCUCCA